UAUCUCUGUAGAGUCUGCAUAUCAAUAAGCGGAGGAAAAGAAACUAACAAGGAUUCCCCUAGUAACGGCGAGUGAAGCGGGAAGAGCUCAAAUUUGAAAUCUUCAAGGUUUGACCUUGACGAAUUGUAGUUUAAAGAAGUGUUUUCGGUUAGAGGAGUAGUAAAAGUUCUUUGGAAUAGGACAUCAUAGAGGGUGAGAAUCCCGUAUUUGACUAUUCUUUCUAGCUCUGUGAUACACUUUCAAAGAGUCGGAUUGUUUGGGAAUGCAGUCCAAAAUGGGUGGUAAAUUUCAUCUAAAGCUAAAUAUUGGCGAGAGACCGAUAGCGAACAAGUACCGUGAGGGAAAGAUGAAAAGAACUUUGAAAAGAGAGUUAAACAGUACGUGAAAUUGUCAAAAGGGAAGCGUUUGACACCAGUGUUGUUUUUCCGAAAAUCAAUUAAAAAUUGAUUCAUGCCAGGUUGUAUUGACCUUAUCAGCUUGCAAUUUGGUUUUGGGUCUCUUUUUGAUGCACUUUUCGGUUAACAAGUCAACAUCAAUUUCCUUUGCUGUAAAAAGGUAAGAGGAAGGUGGCUUCAAUUUCGGUUGAAGCGUUUAUAGCCUUUUAUCUCUGCAGUCGGAGAGAUUGAGGUCUGCAGCGUAGAUCCUUCGGGGCUAGAUACAUUUAUGCUAAGUUAUAGCUUUUCAUAGACAACUUGUUGACUAUGUUUAGUCAUGUAGCUUACUCGUAAGUGCUAUUUUACCUACGCUUAGGAUGUUGAGCGCAUGUCUCUCUCU
rnacentral:rRNA from 1 species